ACAAUGGUGUAAAGAAAACGGAUGGUUAUGCUGUGCUCUUAUUGAGUCUGAGAUGCAAAGAACUCUACAGAUCAGAGCCCAAUAAAACUAAAUUUGGAUUGAAUAGUGAUUAGGAAAUUUGCAAACACGAAUCUUUUGAUGUUUAGGAUGUUUCUGGAAAUAAAAAUAAAUGUUUUUUAUUUUUUAUAUCUGUUUAACCCCACCUGUCAUUUUCUUGUUAGCUCCUGUUUCCCACAGAUUUGUGAUGGAAACUGUGAAUAACACUUAUCCACUCUGCUUUGACAUUACUGGAGCUGUAAUUAUUAAACUCCUUCAUCAUGCCAGCACAGAGCUUCACAUAAAUGGUGUGUUGGACUCAAGACAAAAUCAUGGCUUCAAAGAGAUCGUCAUCCACGUCGGCGCAAACUACAGUAUCAAGGUGGAACCAGAGAGAAUCAGCCUUCAACAGGGACAAAAUAUAACUUACCACACAAGAAAGGAAAACAUCACAGCUGGAAGAUUUACAGUGAACAGGGGUAGAAGGCAAACAGAAGUUACAGAUGGCGACAUGAGGUUGGUCGUCUUAGUCCAUGACACGGGAAGGUGGAAAUUCCUUUGGCCUGUUUUAAGACAGCUGCCAUCUGCUGGUGACACUGAAGGACUUUUAGCUUUAAAUCAUGUGCAGUAUGAAGAGGUUCAUCAAGAUGGCCACACAAAAGUGAAGAUGGCAAACCGAGAGACUCUUGCUCAGCGUUCCACAGUCGCUGACCUCAGGAUUAGGAGACCUGCAGAAAUCGACUGUUGGCUUCUUCCCGCUGACUUUGUCCUGCAAAGACCUUUGACUGAUUUUCUCGUUGCCCGUGUUUAACUGAAAGUCAUGAUAAAUAAUUCAGAAAAAGUACAAGUUACAACUUGAUCCAAAAAUAACUAGUUUAAUUUACCAUGAUAAAAUGCACAGAACAUAGGAUUGAUACAAAAUUACAAUUAAUUAGUCUGAAAGAGGAUUUAAUUUGUAGUUAGGAGGUUAUCUUAUCAGAUAUUUCAAAUACAUGUUUUGUAAUGAUCAAAAAUAGGAUUCAUUUGCAGUCAAAUGAAUAGUUCAGAAUCAUAUUUUUUCUAAAUUGCAUCAUGGUUUAGUUUUCAGCCACUACUGAAAGAGAGAAGUGAUGAACAAAAUACAACAAAAACACUACUUGAGCAAAUAUUAUGUGGCUAGAGAUGAACAUACAGAAUAUUAACUAAGCUUAUGACAGGGUGAGCUUUAAUCAAUAACUUAAGGUCUCCAUAAAGUUUAGAGGCAGAAGUUUCUCAGCAUAAUAUUAAGGCAUAAUGUCUAAGGCAAACAUCCCCCCAAGUUUGGAAGAACAAGGACAGUUCAGGAGGGAUAGUAAAGGGAAACUUUGUUAUGUCCUCAAAAAGCCGCCUUGUCAUAAGAAUCUAAACUACUUUGAUCUAGAACUUGUAUGUGUCACUUUUUUUUUUUUUUACCCGUUAUUCUUACAGUUCAGUGGUUUGCUCAGCUGACACAGUCUAAACACAGAUGUUGUCUGACCUGAAUCCCAUUCUUUGGAUAAGGGAAAGUAUUUAUUAGUUUAGCCACUGGAUUGUCAGAACUCAUGGUUCUGACAGUCCAGUGGUCUGUUCAGCUGACAGAGAAUCUAAACACAGAUGUUGUCUGACCUGAAUGCUGUUCUGUGAAUAAGGGAAAACAUUUAUUAGGUUUUAUGGCUCCGGUCAUUAAAUGGUUUCCCAUUUUUGAAAGCAUCAGAAUCAAACGGGACAUUAGGCUCCAAAAUCAAAUCCUUGAGUGAUGCUGAGCACAUCGAGGCAUCGGAGAGAAACAAGUCAAAGGUUGGCAGGAACAAAAGCUAGACCACAAAACAUCUGGAGCACAAAUAUAAAAACAAAACCGUACUGAACUGGUUGUGUUCAGUAUAGUUGAUUCACUGAUUGGAUCAGUGCCAUUCAGUCUGGCACUGACUGGAUGAGGAGAAUGUCUUCGUAUGUUCAUUUUCGGGUCUUUUAUUUGCUUCUGAGUUUAAGAGCUCAGCUGCGCGCCCUGAGGUUGCAGCUUCCUGGAGAGAAAAAUGUCACCCAGCCUGAUGAGCCAAUCACAGAUGGACUUUAGUAAGAAUGUGGCUGUAUGUGUGCAUUAGACUACCAAUAAAAAAACAAUAAAUACAUCUUUCCCUUCUUUGCA